rnacentral:rRNA from 1 species
UACAGAGGGUGCAAGCGUUAAUCGGAAUUACUGGGCGUAAAGCGUGCGUAGUCGGUUAUUUAAGUCGGGCGUGAAAGCCCCGGGCUCAACCUGGGAAUUGCAUUCGAUACUGGAUAGCUAGAGUUCGGCAGAGGGAAGCGGAAUUUCCGGUGUAGCGGUGAAAUGCGUAGAUAUCGGAAGGAACAUCAGUGGCGAAAGCGGCUUCCUGGACCAGAACUGACGAUCAGGCACGAAAGCGUGGGGAGCAAACAGG